rnacentral:lncRNA from 1 species
CCCUUUAAUCAGGAUUAGGGUUUUUAAACCCUAAACUGAACUUUUCCCUUUAAUCAGGAUUAGGGUUUUAAACCCUAAACUGAACUUUUCCCUUUAGUCAGCAUUAGGGUUUUAAACCCUAAACUGAACUUUUCCCUUUAGUCAGCAUUAGGGUCUUAAACCCUAAACUGAACUUUUUCCAUUUAGUCAGCAGUAGGGUUUUAAACCCUAAACUAAACUCUUUCCAUUUAGUCAGCAUUAGGGUUUUAAACCCUAAACUGAACUCUUCCCUUUAGUCAGCAUUAGGGCCCCAAACCUAAACUGAACUUUUCCCCAGUUGGUCAACAUUAGAGUUUCAACUCUAAACUGAGCUUCUCCCCAGCUAGUCAGCAUUAGGGCUCCAACCCUGAACUGAACUAUUUCCAUUCCGCCAGCCUUAGAGUUUCAACCCUAAACUGAGUAUUCUUACCUUGUGGCAAUAGCGUUGAUCCAAUUGCUUCAUCAAUGCUAUGAACUUCCUGGCAAAUAACUCACGAAAUUUCCUAGUGAAACUGGGGCAGAAGAUUUCGUUCGUUUGUUUUUUCCCCGCAGGUCUGACCUCGAGGCGCAUGGAUCGAGAAGACCCACGAGAUGAGCCUCAACCCAGAAUCAAAAAGAGAAGAUGUUCUGAGAUGCUUGGAAAAACGAAGGGCGGAUCGCUCAAAGGUUUGAUCAAGGUCCCAAAUUCUAUCAACCCCGUCUUACCCAGUAC